ACCUUCAGCAUGACCAUUCUAUCAACUGUAUUAAAUGCUCUGAUUGUUCAAUGAGGUCUCUUCAGUGUGGUUGUUGGACUAUAAACAUCUCCCAGCCCUCCGUGAGCUCUGGUUUUUUGCCUGGCCUGUGGACUUUUAUUCUGUACAUGCACAUGCGUCAUUGCUGUGGUGAUUUUCACCAUCCUGUGCACCCUGGUCUUCCUGAUCCGGUACAUGUUCCGCCACAAGGGCACCUACCAUACCAACGAAGCAAAGGGGGCGGAGUCGGCAGAGAGCGCGGACGCCGCCAUCAUGAACAACGACCCCAACUUCACAGAGACCAUUGAUGAAAGCAAAAAGGAAUGGCUCAUUUGAGGGGUGGCUACUUGGCUAUGGGAUAGGGAGGAGGGAAUUACUAGGGAGGAGAGAAAGGGACAAAAGCACCCUGCUUCAUACUCUUGAGCACAUCCUUAAAAUAUCAGCACAAGUUGGGGGAGGCAGGCAAUGGAAUAUAAUGGAAUAUUCUUGAGACUGAUCACAAAAAAAAAAACCUUUUUAAUAUUUCUUUAUAGCUGAGUUUUCCCUUCUGUAUCAAAACAAAAUAAUACAAAAAAUGCUUUUAGAGUUUA
rnacentral:misc_RNA from 1 species